rnacentral:rRNA from 1 species
GUGGAGUACGAGAGGAUGUUGUACCUGGACGAAGACAUCCAGGUGUUCGACAACAUCGACCACCUGUUCGACCUCGACAAGGGCAGCUUCUACGCCGUCAUGGACUGCUUCUGCCAGAAGACGUGGAGCCACACCCCGCAGUACAAGAUCGGCUACUGCCAGCAGUGCCCGGACCGGGUGGCGUGGCCGGAGCGCGAGCUCGGCGUGCCCCCGCCGCCGCUCUACUUCAACGCCGGCAUGUUCGUGCACGAGCCCAGCCUCGCCACCGCCAGGGCCCUCCUCGACAAGCUCGUCGUCACCGACCCCACCCCCUUCGCCGAGCAGGACUUCCUCAACAUGUUCUUCAGGGACGUGUACAAGCCUAUCCUGCCGGUGUACAACCUCGUGCUCGCCAUGCUCUGGAGGCACCCCGAGAACGUCCAGCUCGACAAGGUCAAGGUCGUCCACUACUGCGCAGCGCCGACCUAUUUCCAUGAUCACCUGGUUGAAUGUGUUGACGUGCGUAGUAAGCAUGCUCAUGUUAAAAAGCAAGUGGGGCUUGUUGCUAAACUUGAUUUUGAGAAGGCGUACGGCAUGGUCAAUUAA